AUCCUGGCUUAGGAUGAACGCUAGCUACAGGCUUAACACAUGCAAGUCGAGGGGCAGCAUAGCGGAAGCUUGCUCUGCUGAUGGCGACCGGCGCACGGGUGAGUAACGCGUAUCCAACCUUCCCUACAGUAGGGGAUAGCCCGGCGAAAGUCGGAUUAACACCCUAUGUUCUUCUUCGAUGGCAUCUGACGAGAAGCAAAGGUUCACCGCUAUAGGAUGGGGAUGCGUCUGAUUAGCUUGUUGGCGGGGUAACGGCCCACCAAGGCUACGAUCAGUAGGGGUUCUGAGAGGAAGGUCCCCCACAUUGGUACUGAGACACGGACCAAACUCCUACGGGAGGCAGCAGUGAGGAAUAUUGGUCAAUGGGCGAGAGCCUGAACCAGCCAAGUAGCGUGCAGGAAUGACUGCCCUAUGGGUUGUAAACUGCUUUUAUGCGGGAAUAAAGUCGGGCACGUGUGCCUGUUUGUAUGUACCGCAUGAAUAAGGACCGGCUAAUUCCGUGCCAGCCGCUGC
rnacentral:rRNA from 1 species